GUAUCUAACCGACUGCUCGUNCUUAAUGCAUCUAGNUUAGACCUGUUGAUCUCUAGAGAACUCAAGAUCGGGCCGGUCNAUCUUCUCACACUUAGAGUUGAUCCCGGCCCAGGCUGGAUCACCUCCUUAGAGUUUGAUCAUGGCUCAGGCUGGGUCACCUCCUUAGAGUUGAUCAUGGCUCAGAUUGAACGCUGGCGGCAGGCUUAACACAUGCAAGUCGAGCGGGGAAGGUUGCUUCGGUAACUGACCUAGCGGCGGACGGGUGAGUAAUGCUUAGGAAUCUGCCAUUUAGUGGGGGACAACAUUCCGAAAGGAAUGCUAAUACCGCAUACGUCCUACGGGAGAAAGCAGGGGAUCUUCGGACCUUGCGCUAAAUGAUGAGCCUAAGUCGGAUUAGCUAGUUGGUGGGGUAAAGGCCUACCAAGGCGACGAUCUGUAGCGGGUCUGAGAGGAUGAUCCGCCACACUGGGACUGAGACACGGCCCAGACUACCUACGGGAGGCAGCAGUGGGGAAUAUUGGACAAUGGGCGGAAGCCUGAUCCAGCCAUGCCGCGUGUGUAGAAGAAGGCCUUAUGGUAUGUAAAAGCACUUUAAGCGAGGAGGAGAGGCUAACCAGUAAUUAAUACUAACUGGGGAUAAGUGGACGUUUUAACUUCGCCAGAAAAUAAAGCGCACCCGGGUUAAACUUCUGUUGCCCAGCCAGCGCGGUAUACCAGGAGGGUUGCCGAAGCGGUUNAAAAUCCGGAAUUACCUAGGGGGGCCGNUAAAAAGCGUGACCGUAANGGCCGGGNCAUUAAAAGCUCGGGAUAUGGUNAAAACCCCCCGAAGCUUAACUUGGGGAAAUAGCGUCCACACCAGGGGANCACAUAUGCGGCNACACGANUGGGAAAUCCCUCGGGUGNGGUGAUCANUUUAUAACUACUCUGAGAAACACAUACGAGAGAGCGUCANAUAAUAGCCGGCNCAGAGNGGGAACAGUAAACAGGCCCCCGCAAGAAUAGCGGGGGAGAA
rnacentral:rRNA from 1 species